UUUCAGUACAUCAGCAGGUAGUUUCUGGUAUGCGGCAAAAGGUAUCACUCUGUGGCUUCGCGAUGCCUUAGACAAACUAUGAUGGUCCUGACAUUCUGUACAUAGUCCCUCGUCACAUUCUGUACACCAGACUAUAGAUGGUAUAGUGAUGUGACGGAGGUCACAGACACCACAAUUUUGUAAGGCUGCAGCCAUUUAACACACUACAAA
rnacentral:lncRNA from 1 species